GUUCUUGUAGUUGAAUUACAACGGUGGUUUUUCAAGUCAUUAGUUCUGGUUAAAAUCCAGGCAGGAACC
rnacentral:tRNA from 1 species